GAUGAACGCUAGCGAUAGGCCUAACACAUGCAAGUCGAGGGGCAUCACGGAGUAGCAAUACUUUGGUGGCGACCGGCGCACGGGUGAGUAACGCGUAUGCAAUCUACCUACAACAGGGGGAUAACCCGGAGAAAUCCGGACUAAUACCGCACAACACAGGGGUCCCGCAUGGGAAUAUUUGUUAAAGAUUUAUCGGUUGUAGAUGAGCAUGCGUUCCAUUAGGUAGUUGGUGAGGUAACGGCCCACCAAGCCUGCGAUGGAUAGGGGAACUGAGAGGUUUGUCCCCCACACUGGAACUGAGACACGGACCAGACUCCUACGGGAGGCAGCAGUGAGGAAUAUUGGUCAAUGGGCGAGAGCCUGAACCAGCCAAAUCGCGUGAAGGAAGACUGCCUUAUGGGUUGUAAACUUCUUUUGUACAGGAAUAAAAAGAGGGACGUGUCCUUCAUUGCAUGUACUGUACGAAUAAGCAUCGGCUAACUCCGUGCCAGCCACCGCAGUAA
rnacentral:rRNA from 1 species